rnacentral:lncRNA from 1 species
CUGAAAGAACUUGCCAGGGUCUGGGCCCAGGUUCCACGAACGCCGUCUGGACCGGCAGCGGCCGCCGGUGAAGGGCGAUUGUGUCCCUGGGAACUGGUGAUAGCAGAGGUCGUGACAAAGGAAAAGUAAGGGACAGGGAAGGCGAGCUCACGCGGGUGAAGAAACGUCAGGAGGUCGUCUGUGUGCUGCUGGCUGUUAACUGGCCGAGUCCACACAGAGGCCCCGUGUCACCACAGAGGGCCCGGCCCAUUAACACCGAACAGCUUGAGAAUACACUCCUCAUUGAUCAGAUAAACAAGUCGUGAGAUACUUUAUUACAAAAUGAUGGACCAAUUUAGCCAUCUUUUCACCCGCGAU